UGGGGAAUAUUGGACAAUGGGCGCAAGCCUGAUCCAGCCAUGCCGCGUGAGUGAUGAAGGCCCUAGGGUUGUAAAGCUCUUUCACCGGUGAAGAUAAUGACGGUAACCGGAGAAGAAGCCCCGGCUAACUUCGUGCCAGCAGCCGCGGUAAUACGAAGGGGGCUAGCGUUGUUCGGAAUUACUGGGCGUAAAGCGCACGUAGGCGGACAUUUAAGUCAGGGGUGAAAUCCCGGGGCUCAACCCCCGGAACUGCCUUUGAUACUGGGUGUCUAGAGUUCGAGAGAGGUGAGUGGAAUUCCGAGUGUAGAGGUGAAAUUCGUAGAUAUUCGGAGGAACACCAGUGGCGAAGGCGGCUCACUGGCUCGAUACUGACGCUGAGGUGCGAAAGCGUGGGGAGCAAAACAGGAUUAGAUACCCUGGUAGUCCACGCCGUAAAACGAUGGAAGCCAGCUGUCGGCAAGUUUACUCGUCGGUGGCGCAGCUAACGCAUUAAGCUUCCCGCCUGGGGAGUACGGUCGCAAGAUUAAAAACUCAAAAGGAAUUGACGGGGUCAUAGCUGUUUCCUG
rnacentral:rRNA from 1 species